UUCUGUCUGCUCUAACAUAGACAGGAAGCCAGUGAAGAGAUGCCAAAAUGGGUGUAAUGUGGUCAAACUUUCUGCUUCCGGUUAAGAGUCUGGCAGCAGCAUUUUGAACCAAUUGGAGACCCAUAAUCCUGGACUGAGGUAAACA